rnacentral:rRNA from 1 species
UACAGAGGUCUCAAGUGUUGUUCGGAUUCAUUGGGCGUAAAGGGGUGCGUAGGCGGCGCGGUAAGUCGGGUGUGAAAUCUCGGAGCUUAACUCCGAAACUGCAUUCGAUACUGCCGCGCUUGAGGACUGGAGAGGAGACUGGAAUUACGGUGUAGCGGUGAAAUGCGUAGAUAUCGUAAGGAAGACCAGUGGCGAAGGCGGGUCUCUGGACAGUUCCUGACGCUGAGGCACGAAAGCGUGGGGAGCAAACAGG